CCUACGGGAGGCAGCAGUGGGGAAUAUUGGGCAAUGGGCGCAAGCCUGACCCAGCAACGCCGCGUGAAGGAAGAAGGCUUUCGGGUUGUAAACUUCUUUUUUCAGGGACGAAACAAGUGACGGUACCUGACGAAUAAGCCACGGCUAACUACGUGCCUGCAGCCGCGGUAAUACGUAAGUGGCAAGCGUUAUCCGGAUUUAUUGGGUGUAAAGGGCGUGUAGGCGGGAAUGCAAGUCAGAUGUGAAAACUAUGGGCUCAACCCAUAGCCUGCAUUUGAAACUGUAUUUCUUGAGUGCUGGAGAGGCAAUCGGAAUUCGGUGUGUAGCGGUGAAAUGCGUAGAUAUACGGAGGAACACCAGUGGCGAAGGCGGAUUGCUGGACAGUAACUGACGCUGAGGCGCGAAAGCGUGGGGAGCAAACAGGAUUAGAUACCCCAGUAGUC
rnacentral:rRNA from 1 species